rnacentral:rRNA from 1 species
CCUACGGGAGGCAGCAGUCGGGAAUAUUGCACAAUGGAGGAAACUCUGAUGCAGUGACACCGCGUAUAGGAAGAAGGUUUUCGGAUUGUAAACUAUUUUAGACAGGGAAGAAAAAAGACAGUACCUGUAGAAUAAGCUCCGGCUAACUACGUGCCAGCAGCCGCGGUAAUACGUAGGGAGCAAGCGUUAUCCGGAAUUAUUGGGUGUAAAGGGUGCGUAGACGGGACAGCAAGUUAGUUGUGAAAGCCCUCGGCUUAACUGAGGAACUGCAACUAAAACUAUUGUUCUUGAGUGCAGGAGAGGAA